AAAGCACUUUCUCCCCAUAUCACGGCCAUGUUCUUAUUAGCUGCAGAGUAGGAAUACCCUGCAGUCGUCCCAGAUUGCCUUCCAAAAAGCCCAUUCAAAUUGGGUCCUUGUUUGUGGCCGGCGCCUUUUUCGACUGGCAUUGGGCACACUUAGUUUUGAAGAUCUUCUCUCCUGCCUUUAGAUCACCAGGUGGAGCUUGCUCGAAUGUUGCCAUUUUUUCUAGGGCUC
rnacentral:misc_RNA from 1 species